rnacentral:rRNA from 1 species
UACGUAGGCAGCAAGCGUUGUUCGGAGUUACUGGGCGUAAAGGGUGCGUAGGUGGCUCUAUAAGUAUGGUGUGAAAUCUCCCGGCUUAACUGGGAGGGUGCGCCGUAGACUGUGGGGGCUAGAGUGUGGGAGAGGAAAGUGGAAUUCCUGGUGUAGCGGUGAAAUGCGUAGAUAUCAGGAGGAACACCGGUGGUGUAAACGGCUUUCUGGACCAUAAACUGACACUGGAGGCACGAAAGCGUGGGUAGCAAACAGG